rnacentral:rRNA from 1 species
CCUACGGGUGGCAGCAGUGGGGAAUAUUGCACAAUGGGCGCAAGCCUGAUGCAGCCAUGCCGCGUGUGUGAAGAAGGCCUUCGGGUUGUAAAGCACUUUCAGCGGGGAGGAAGGCGGUGAGGUUAAUAACCUUGUCGAUUGACGUUACCCGCAGAAGAAGCACCGGCUAACUCCGUGCCAGCAGCCGCGGUAAUACGGAGGGUGCAAGCGUUAAUCGGAAUUACUGGGCGUAAAGCGCACGCAGGCGGUCUGUCAAGUCGGAUGUGAAAUCCCCGGGCUCAACCUGGGAACUGCAUUCGAAACUGGCAGGCUAGAGUCUUGUAGAGGGGAGUAGAAUUCCAGGUGUAGCGGUGAAAUGCGUAGAGAUCGGGAGGAAUACCGGUGGCGAAGGCGGCCCCCUGGACAAAGACUGACGCUCAGGUGCGAAAGCGUGGGGAGCGAACAGGAUUAGAUACCCCUGUAGUC